UAACAAGGAUUCCCCUAGUAACGGCGAGUGAAGAGGGAAAAGCCCAAGAUUGAAAGCUGGCGCCUUCGGCGUCCGCAUUGUAAUCUCAAGAAGUGUUUUCCGCUUCGGACCAAGCCUAAGUUUCCUGGAAAGGAGCAUCGUAGAGGGUGAAAAUCCCGUACAUGGUUUGGAGCGCCCGGAGCUUUGUGAUACACUUUCUAAGAGUCGAGUUGUUUGGGAAUGCAGCUCAAAAUGGGUGGUAAAUGCCAUCUAAGGCUAAAUAUUGGGGAGAGACCGAUAGCGAACAAGUACAGUGAUGGAAAGAUGAAAAGAACUUUGAAAAGAGAGUUAAACAGUACGUGAAAUUGCCAAAAGGGAAGGGUAGGAGGUCAGAGAUGCGGCCUGGGAUUCAGCCUUGCUUUUGCUUGGUGUAUUUCCCAGAUUGCAGGCCAACGUCGGUUUUGGGCACUGGAGAAUGGUAAGAGGAAUGUGGCACUCUUCGGAGUGUGUUAUAGCCUCUUACUGGAUGCAGCGACCGAGACCGAGGAACGCAGCGUACUCGUAAGAGCGGGCCUUCGGGCACCUUUACGCUUAGGGCGUUGGCAUAAUGGCCCUCUACCACCCGU
rnacentral:rRNA from 1 species